rnacentral:rRNA from 2 species
CGCCGCGUGAGUGAAGAAGGUUUUCGGAUCGUAAAACUCUGUUGUAAGGGAAGAACACGUACGAGAGUAACUGCUCGUACCUUGACGGUACCUUAUUAGAAAGCCACGGCUAACUACGUGCCAGCAGCCGCGGUAAUACGUAGGUGGCAAGCGUUGUCCGGAAUUAUUGGGCGUAAAGCGCGCGCAGGCGGUCCUUUAAGUCUGAUGUGAAAGCCCACGGCUCAACCGUGGAGGGUCAUUGGAAACUGGGGGACUUGAGUACAGAAGAGGAAAGCGGAAUUCCAAGUGUAGCGGUGAAAUGCGUAGAGAUUUGGAGGAACACCAGUGGCGAAGGCGGCUUUCUGGUCUGUAACUGACGCUGAGGCGCGAAAGCGUGGGGAGCAAACAGGAUUAGAUACCCUGGUAGUCCACGCCGUAAACGAUGAGUGCUAAGUGUUAGGGGGUUUCCGCCCCUUAGUGCUGCAGCUAACGCAUUAAG